UCUCUGUCGCCCACACACUUUCAACAUUUAGAUAAAGCAGUUGAACUUUUCAUUUGUGUAAAAAAAUUGAGAUUUUUUUUUAGGUAGAUGUUUUUUCAAGAUAAUUAACCAGAAAAGUCCAACCCAAAUGUAUCGUCCCGUAACACAUUUCUAUCCGGUCCGCGCUAUGAUUUGGGUAGUCAAUUCAUUUUGGCAUGCUUCCAUACAGCCGGUGGUUGGCGGAGCUGAGGAUGUUCCGCUGCGCUACAAGUCACAGCGAGCAAUGCCAAUGUGCUGCACGCCAAACGUUUCCCGUAUCAAGAAUGAUCCACCACCCAAAGGACAUUCAGCCGACUCGACACAACUGUGGGAAGCAUUGGAGUCAACGUAGGCCAGCAUCCCCCCCCCCGUUAAACGCUUUAGACACUUGUCAUUUUGAGAUAUAUUCUUUGGUUGUCUAAAUUGUCUACAGGAAAUGUAAACCGACUUUGUGUAAAUACUAUAUACACGGCUCAAAAAAAAUAAAGGGAACACUUAAACAACACAAUGUAACUCCAAGUCAAUCACACUUCUGUGAAAUGAAUAUUUCAUUCAUUCAGAUCUAGGAUGUGUU
ensembl:lncRNA